GAUCAUGGCUCAGAUUGAACGCUGGCGGCAGGCCUAACACAUGCAAGUCGAGCGGAUGAGAGGAGCUUGCUCUUCGAUUCAGCGGCGGACGGGUGAGUAAUGCCUAGGAAUCUGCCUAGUAGUGGGGGACAACGUUUCGAAAGGAACGCUAAUACCGCAUACGUCCUACGGGAGAAAGUGGGGGAUCUUCGGACCUCACGCUAUUAGAUGAGCCUAGGUCGGAUUAGCUAGUUGGUAGGG
rnacentral:rRNA from 1 species